rnacentral:rRNA from 1 species
AUUUUUGCUGCAUCGUUUUCCUUUGCUUGACAGUUGGAUUUCGUUACGGCUUAGUUGGGUUUCAUUUUUUGUUUCCCGACGUUUACUUUGAGAAAAUUAAAGUGCUUCAAGCAGGCUUUUGCCUUGAAUACUUUAGCAUGGAAUAAUGGAGUAGGACUUUGGUUCUAUUUUGUUGGUUUUAGGAGCCAGAGUAAUGGUUAAUAGGAACAGUUGGGGGCAUUCGUAUUUGACUGUCAAAGGUGAAAUUCUUAAAUUUGUCAAAGACAAACUACUGCGAAAGCAUUUGCCAAGGAUGUUUUCAUUAAUCAAGAACGAAAGUUAGGGGAUCGAAAACGAUCAGAUACCGUCGUAGUCCUAACUAUAAACGAUGCCGACUAGAGAUUG